rnacentral:rRNA from 1 species
UACGUAGGGUGCGAGCGUUAAUCGGAAUACUGGGCGUAAAGCGUGCGCAGGCGGUUCGUUGUGUCUGCUGUGAAAGCCCCGGGCUCAACCUGGGAAUGGCAGUGGAAACUGGCGAGCUGGAGUGUGGCAGAGGGUGGAAUUCCGGCGUGUAGGCAGUGAAAUGCGUAGAGAUGCGGAGGAACACCGAUGGCGAAGGCAGCCCUGGGCUGACACUGACGCCUCAGGCACGAAAGCGUGGGAGCAAACAGGAUAGAUACC